GUUUUCUCUCACUCUUACCUUUCCUAGUAUCAUUUCAAUAUUUCAUUUCUGGAAUUCUAAACUCCUUCGACUCACAAGUUUCACUUUAAAAGUUUUAAAGUUCCGCUAUUGGUAAUAAGGUUUACUACUAUUCAUAAAAUCAGUCAAUUUUUCAAUUUUAAAAGAUAGUUAAAAAAGCUGCCAUUAAAUCAGUCAAUUUUUUACUUGGUAAAAUUUAAAAGAUGAUUGAAAAGAAAUGAUCAAUCUUUAUUGUAAAAAAAUAAAGUUUGGAGUGAUGAAGAGGCAAAUAAGUUGUUACAAUUGUGGUAAAUCUGGUCAUUUUUCUACAUUUUGCCCAGAAAAAUCAUGUGGGUAUAACCUCAACAAGAAAUUGAAGCCUUCAAUGUCAUCAUCUUUCCAAAGUUUCCCAGUCACAAAUUGUCGUUGUGGUGGAGGUUUGUGCAAAAUCAAGAUUACUCCUAAAACUCAAAAAUGUUUCUACACUUGCCCUAACAUUUAUGAAUUGCACUGUGGGUACUUCAAAUUAUGUGAGGAUCUAAAGGCGCAUGAGAUAUUGCAUAAAUCUCCUCCGAUUUUUCCAAUUUGUUCAUGUGGGGCUGGAGUUUGCAGGUUAGAAAUUGUAAGAGAAGGCCCUGAUUCUGGUCGGAGUUAUUUUGCUUGCAAAAGAAACUACAAGGUGCUUGCAAUUUCUGGCAAUGGAAGGAUGAAAAGUAUUAUCAGCCUACAUCAAAUGUGGUUAAAGAUACCAUAGCUUAUAAUGAUAGCAUAGCCAAUGAGAUUGACAUGAUUCGCAAGGAAUUUGAAGACGGUGGUAUGGAUCUCGACUUUCCCUUAGAUGAAAUCGAAAUCAAUUCUUCAAGUGUAACAUUUUCUGGAGACAACAUGACUCAUUCUAGUCCUGUAACAAGCCCCGUUAGCCCAUUGGAUGUGGCAGCUCUUGCAUCAACAGAUUCUCAGAGUAUGGUGGUUAAGUGGUUCCCUCGCAAUUGACUACUGUUCUAACAUGCUUCUUCUAGUGCUUGCUUAGUGACUUGGCUUAUUCUAAGGAUUCCGUUGCCGUCGUAGCUUAUAGUGAGGUGCAAUGUGUAAAGAUGUUAUGGGAGCUCCAAACAUCAAUAACAUAGGGAAGUAUAUACCGCAGAAGCUACAUUUGAAGGGAUGAGAUUAACUAUAGUAAUAUAGUAUCCUUAGAUGUUUAGUUUUAUGUUAUUAAUGAAAUCUGUAUAAACCUAAUUGAUCGAAGUGCAAAGUUAGCUAAUAGUGUAGUUGUUACUUUAGUAGUAAAGUUGAACAGAGUUCAGAAUAUACCCAGAGGUUUCUACGAAACUGUGGUAGAAACUGGUAAGGGCUCAUAUUUGUUGGAAGUUUUCAUGCAGGUCACUACUCACUAACCAAAGUGCCUGA